GCGGCAGCACAGAGGAACUUGUUCCUUGGGUGGCGAGCGGCGGACGGGUGAGUAAUGCCUAGGAAAUUGCCCUGAUGUGGGGGAUAACCAUUGGAAACGAUGGCUAAUACCGCAUGAUGCCUACGGGCCAAAGAGGGGGACCUUCGGGCCUCUCGCGUCAGGAUAUGCCUAGGUGGGAUUAGCUAGUUGGUGAGGUAAUGGCUCACCAAGGCGACGAUCCCUAGCUGGUCUGAGAGGAUGAUCAGCCACACUGGAACUGAGACACGGUCCAGACUCCUACGGGAGGCAGCAGUGGGGAAUAUUGCACAAUGGGCGCAAGCCUGAUGCAGCCAUGCCGCGUGUAUGAAGAAGGCCUUCGGGUUGUAAAGUACUUUCAGUCGUGAGGAAGGUGGUGUUGUUAAUAGCAGCAUCAUUUGACGUUAGCGACAGAAGAAGCACCGGCUAACUCCGUGCCAGCAG
rnacentral:rRNA from 1 species